rnacentral:rRNA from 1 species
AGUCACUGACAUUAGAUACCCGGUAGUCCCAGCCGUAAACAAUGUGCGUUAGGUGUGUCGGUAACCACGCGUUACUGAUGCGCCGAAGAGAAAUCGUGAAACGCACCACCUGGGAAGUACGGUCGCAAGGCUGAAACUUAAAGGAAUUGGCGGGGAGCACCACAACAGGUGGAGCCUGCGGUUUAAUUGGAUUCAACGCCGGACAUCUCACCGGAUAAGACAGCUGAAUGAUUGUCAAUCUGAAGGUUUACAUGACUAGCUG